rfam:Vigna angularis cultivar Jingnong 6 scaffold499_28, whole genome shotgun sequence.
UAGUUAUUGUGCUAUUGAUUCGGUUCAUUCACACCUCAAAACACUUCUUUUAUUUUUGAGGUUUUGAUUGAGCCGCGUCAAUAUCUCAAUACUAUUU